CAGUCGAGCGAGCGGAACCAACAGAUUUACUUCGGUAAUGACGUUGGGACAGCGAGCGGCGGAUGGGUGAGUAACACGUGGGGAACCUGCCCCUAAGUCUGGGAUACCAUUUGGAAACAGGUGCUAAUACCGGAUAAUAAAGCGGAUCGCAUGAUCAGCUUUUGAAAGGCGGCGUAAGCUGUCGCUAAGGGAUGGCCCCGCGGUGCAUUAGCUAGUUGGUAAGGUAACGGCUUACCAAGGCGACGAUGCAUAGCCGAGUUGAGAGACUGAUCGGCCACAUUGGGACUGAGACACGGCCCAAACUCCUACGGGAGGCAGCAGUAGGGAAUCUUCCACAAUGGACGCAAGUCUGAUGGAGCAACGCCGCGUGAGUGAAGAAGGUUUUCGGAUCGUAAAGCUCUGUUGUUGGUGAAGAAGGAUAGAGGUAGUAACUGGCCUUUAUUUGACGGUAAUCAACCAGAAAGUCACGGCUAACUACGUGCCAGCAGCCGCGGUAAUACGUAGGUGGCAAGCGUUGUCCGGAUUUAUUGGGCGUAAAGCGAGCGCAGGCGGAAAAAUAAGUCUAAUGUGAAAGCCCUCGGCUUAACCGAGGAACUGCAUCGGAAACUGUUUUUCUUGAGUGCAGAAGAGGAGAGUGGAACUCCAUGUGUAGCGGUGGAAUGCGUAGAUAUAUGGAAGAACACCAGUGGCGAAGGCGGCUCUCUGGUCUGCAACUGACGCUGAGGCUCGAAAGCAUGGGUAGCGAACAGGAUUAGAUACCCUGGUAGUCCAUGCCGUAAACGAUGAGUGCUAAGUGUUGGGAGGUUUCCGCCUCUCAGUGCUGCAGCUAACGCAUUAAGCACUCCGCCUGG
rnacentral:rRNA from 1 species